CGCCCAGACUCCUACGGGAGGCAGCAGUGAGGAGUAUUGGUCAAUGGGCGGGAGCCUGAACCAGCCAUGCCGCGUGAAGGCGAGUGCCCUACGGGCGUUAAACUUCUUUUGUGCGGGAGCAAUAAGGGCCACGUGUGGCCCGAUGAGAGUACCGCACGAAUAAGCCCCGGCUAACUACGUGCCAGCAGCCGCGGUAAUACGUAGGGGGCGAGCGUUAUCCGGAUUCACUGGGUGUAAAGGGAGCGUAGACGGCCAUGCAAGCCAGGGGUGAAAGCCCGGGGCCCAACCCCGGGACUGCCCUUGGAACUGCAUGGCUGGGGUGCGGGAGGGGCAGGCGGAAUUCCUGGUGUAGCGGUGAAAUGCGUAGAUAUUAGGAGGAACACCAGUGGCGAAGGCGGCUUACUGGACUGUAACUGACGUUGAGGCUCGAAAGCGUGGGGAGCAAACAGGAUUAGAUACCCGAGUAA
rnacentral:rRNA from 1 species